rnacentral:rRNA from 1 species
UACGUAGGGUGCAAGCGUUGUCCGGAAUUAUUGGGCGUAAAGAGCUUGUAGGCGGUUUGUCGCGUCUGCUGUGAAAUUUCGGGGCUCAACCUCGAGACGCCGGCGGAAACCAUCAGGCUAGAGUCCGGAAGAGGAGAGUGGAAUUCCCGGUGUAGCGGUGAAAUGCGCAGAUAUCGGGAAGAACACCCGUGGCGAAGGCGGCUCUCUGGGACGGUACUGACGCUGAGACGCGAAAGCGUGGGGAGCGAACAGG